rnacentral:sRNA from 1 species
GAUUUUUCACAUCUUUGCCGGUUUAUGCAAUCAUUGUGGCAAAUUUUUGCAGAAGCUGGACCUUUUAUUUGCUCCUCAUAAGUCAGCCUGCUUAUUUUGAAGAGGUCUUUGGAUUUGCAAUAAGUAAGGUGGGUCUCUUGUCAGCAGUCCCACACAUGGUUAUGACAAUCGUUGUACCUAUUGGAGGACAAUUGGCUGAUUAUUUAAGAAGCAGACAAAUUUUGACCACAACUGCUGUCAGAAAAAUCAUGAACUGUGGAGGUACUGUGGAUUUCAUAGAUGACUUAGGCAGCUUUUGUAGAAUUAUGGUAAACUGAACUGCGAGCAUAUAUUAAGAAGUGACAUUUAAUCAUUGGAGUGGAUCUUAAAGACCUCUAAGUCUGUCCCUCAGCAGAUACUUAAGUGUUGUCCAUCACAGUGCUGCCAAGAGGUCAUCCAGCUGGGACCCUUCCAUACAUCCUUCCACAUUU